AAAAAUUUAGUUAAAAAAUAACAUUAGUUUGUCAAACUAAAAUUAUUGUAAUUAAUAAUUUUUU
rnacentral:tRNA from 1 species